AGAAGCUUAGGUUAACUAUCAGACCAAGGGCCUUCAAAGCCCUAAGUAAGUGUAUUCAUUUAGCUUCUG
rnacentral:tRNA from 2 species